rnacentral:rRNA from 1 species
GACGAACGCUGGCGGCGUGCUUAACACAUGCAAGUCGAACGGAAAGGCCCUGCUUUUGUGGGGUGCUCGAGUGGCGAACGGGUGAGUAACACGUGAGUAACCUGCCCUUGACUUUGGGAUAACUUCAGGAAACUGGGGCUAAUACCGGAUAGGAGCCCCUGCUGCAUGGUGGGGGUUGGAAAGUUUCGGCGGUUGGGGAUGGACUCGCGGCUAAUCAGCUUGUUGGGGGGGUAGUGGCUUACCAAGGCAUUGACGGUAGCCGACCUGAGAGGGUGACCAGCCACAUUGGGACUAAGAGACGGCCCAGUCUCCUACGGGAGGCAACAGUGGGGAAUAUUGUACAAUGGGCGGAAGCCUGAUACAGCAACGCCGCGGUCGGAAUGACGGCCUUCUGGUUGUAAACCGCUUUCGCCUAAGACGAAGCGUGAGUGACGGUAAUGAGUAAAGAAGCACCGGCUAACUACGUG